rnacentral:rRNA from 1 species
UACGGAGGGAGCUAGCGUUGUUCGGAAUUACUGGGCGUAAAGCGCACGUAGGCGGCUUUGUAAGUUAGAGGUGAAAGCCCGGGGCUCAGCUCCGGAACUGCCUUUAAGACUGCAUCGCUUGAAUCCAGGAGAGGUGAGUGGAAUUCCGAGUGUAGAGGUGAAAUUCGUAGAUAUUCGGAAGAACACCAGUGGCGAAGGCGACUCACUGGACGAUUGUUGACGCUGAGGUGCGAAAGCGUGGGGAGCAAACAGG